UACGGAAGGGGGCUAGCGUUGCUCGGAAUCACUGGGCGUAAAGGGCGCGUAGGCGGCCAUUCAAGUCAGGGGUGAAAGCCUGUGGCUCAACCACAGAAUUGCCUUUGAUACUGUUUGGCUAGAGACCGGAAGAGGUAAGUGGAACUGCGAGUGUAGAGGUGAAAUUCGUAGAUAUUCGCAAGAACACCAGUGGCGAAGGCGGCUUACUGGUCCGGUUCUGACGCUGAGGCGCGAAAGCGUGGGGAGCAAAGCAGG
rnacentral:rRNA from 1 species